rnacentral:rRNA from 1 species
UGCCAGCAGCCGCGGUAAUACGGAGGGUGCAAGCGUUAAUCGGAAUUACUGGGCGUAAAGCGCGCGUAGGCGGUUUGACAAGUCGGAUGUGAAAUCCCAGGGCCCAACCCUGGAACUGCAUCCGAUACUGUCAGGCUAGAGUCCCGGAGAGGAUGGCGGAAUUCCCGGUGUAGGGGUGAAAUCCGUAGAUAUCGGGAGGAACACCAGUGGCGAAGGCGGCCAUCUGGACGGUGACUGACGCUGAGACUCGAAAGCGUGGGUAGCAAACAGGAUUAGAUA